rnacentral:rRNA from 1 species
GAUGAACGCUGGCGGCGUGCCUAAUACAUGCAAGUCGAGCGAACGGACGAGAAGCUUGCUUCUCUGAUGUUAGCGGCGGACGGGUGAGUAACACGUGGAUAACCUACCUAUAGGACUGGGAUAACUUCGGGAAACCGGAGCUAAUACCGGAUAAUAUUUUGAACCGCAUGGUUCAAAAGUGAAAGACGGUCUUGCUGUCACUUAUAGAUGGAUCCGCGCUGCAUUAGCUAGUUGGUAAGGUAACGGCUUACCAAGGCAACGAUGCUUAGCCGACCUGAGAGGGUGAUCGGCCACACUGGAACUGAGACACGGUCCAGACUCCUACGGGAGGCAGCAGUAGGGAAUCUUCCGCAAUGGGCGAAAGCCUGACGGAGCAACGCCGCGUGAGUGAUGAAGGUCUUCGGAUCGUAAAACUCUGUUAUUAGGGAAGAACAUAUGUGUAAGUAACUGUGCACAUCUUGACGGUACCUAAUCAGAAAGCCACGGCUAACUACGUG